UGUAGGAGUACAAUAGGCAAAUCCGUUGUAUGAUCCGAAGACGUGAUGUGGAGCGAAAUAAAGUAGUGAAGCGUGUGAGCCAUGUGCCGAGAAAAGCUGCUAUUGUGUAAUGCGUGCCCGUACCGUAAACCGACACAGGUGGAUGAGGAGAGAAUCCUAAGGCCGACGGAAGAAGCAUUGUUAAGGAAUUCGGCAAAAUGACCCCGUAACUUCGGGAGAAGGGGUGCCUGCGAGAGCAGGCCGCAGAGAAUAGGCUCAAGCAACUGUUUAGCAAAAACACAGGUCUAUGCGAAACCGAAAGGUGAAGUAUAUGGGCUGACGCCUGCCCGGUGCUGGAAGGUUAAGAGGAGAGGUUAGCGAAAGCGAAGCUUUGAAUUUAAGCCCCAGUAAACGGCGGCCGUAACGAUAACGGUCCUAAGGUAGCGAAAUUCCUUGUCGGGUAAGUUCCGACCCGCACGAAAGGCGUAAUGAUUUGAGCACUGUCUCGACAAUGCAUCCGGUGAAAUUGAAGUACCAGUGAAGAUGCUGGUUACCCGCGCCAGGACGGAAAGACCCCAUGGAGCUUUACUCCAGUUUGAUACUGGGAUUCGGUACUGCAUGUACAGGAUAGGUGGGAGACGGAGAAGGAUGGACGCCAGUCUGUCCGGAGUCGCUGUUGGGAUACCACCCCUGUAGUACUGGGUUUCUAACCAGUUACCAUGAUCUGGUAAUGGGACAAUGUCAGGCGGGGAGUUUGACUGGGGCGGUCGCCUCCGAAAGGGUAUCGGAGGCGCUCAAAGGUUCCCUCAGAAUGGUUGGAAACCAUUUGAAGAGUGCAAAGGCAGAAGGGAGCUUGACUGCGACACCGACGGGUGGAGCAGGUACGAAAGUAGGACUUAGUGAUCCGGUGGUAUAAAGUGGGAUUGCCAUCGCUCAACGGAUAAAAGCUACCCUGGGAUAACAGGCUUAUCACUCCCAAGAGUUCACAUCGACGGAGUGGUUUGGCACCCUGAUGUCGGCUCAUCGCAUCCUGGGGCUGUAGCAGGUCCCAAGGGUUGGGCUGUUCGCCCAUUAAAGCGGUACGCGAGCUGGGUUCAGAACGUCGUGAGACAGUUCGGUCCCUAUCCGGCGCGGGCGGAGGAUAUUUGAGAGGAGCUGUCCUUAGUACGAGAGGACCGGGAUGGACGGACCACUGGUGUAUCUGUUGUCGACCAACGGCAUGGCAGAGUAGCCAAGUCUGGAAGGGAUAAACGCUGAAGGCAUCUAAGCGUGAAGCCCCCCUCAAGAUGAGAUAUCCCUCCUUCGGGAGUAAGACCCCUUGAAGACUACAAGGUAGAUAGGGCAGAGGUGGAAGCAUGGCAACAUGUGGAGCUGACUGUUACUAAUAGGUCGAGGGCC
rnacentral:rRNA from 1 species